rnacentral:rRNA from 1 species
UACAGAGGGGGCAAGCGUCGUUCGGAAUUACUGGGCGUAAAGGGCGCGUAGGCGGCCUUCUAAGUCGAACGUGAAAUCCCCGGGCUCAACCCGGGAACUGCGUCCGAUACUGGAAGGCUUGAAUCCGGGAGAGGGAUGCGGAAUUCCAGGUGUAGCGGUGAAAUGCGUAGAUAUCUGGAGGAACACCGGUGGCGAAGGCGGCAUCCUGGACCGGCAUUGACGCUGAGGCGCGAAAGCCAGGGGAGCAAACGGG